GGAUUGUGGCUUAAUGGUAGAGCACAAGCCUAGCACACAUGAGGCCCUGGGUUCAAUCUUCAGCACCA
rnacentral:tRNA from 1 species